GAGUUUGAUCAUGGCUCAGAUUGAACGCUGGCGGCAGGCCUAACACAUGCAAGUCGAACGGUAACAGGAAUCAGCUUGCUGAUUCGCUGACGAGUGGCGGACGGGUGAGUAAUGUCUGGGAAACUGCCUGAUGGAGGGGGAUAACUACUGGAAACGGUAGCUAAUACCGCAUAACGUCGCAAGACCAAAGAGGGGGACCUUCGGGCCUCUUGCCAUCGGAUGUGCCCAGAUGGGAUUAGCUAGUAGGUGGGGUAACGGCUCACCUAGGCGACGAUCCCUAGGUGGUCUGAGAGGAUGACCAGCCACACUGGAACUGAGACACGGUCCAGACUCCUACGGGAGGCAGCAGUGGGGAAUAUUGCACAAUGGGCGCAAGCCUGAUGCAGCCAUGCCGCGUGUAUGAAGAAGGCCUUCGGGUUGUAAAGUACUUUCAGCGGGGAGGAAGGGAGUAAAGUUAAUACCUUUGCUCAUUGACGUUACCCGCAGAAGAAGCACCGGCUAACUCCGUGCCAGCAGCCGCGGUAAUACGGAGGGUGCAAGCGUUAAUCGGAAUUACUGGGCGUAAAGCGCACGCAGGCGGUUUGUUAAGUCAGAUGUGAAAUCCCCGGGCUCAACCUGGGAACUGCAUCUGAUACUGGCAAGCUUGAGUCUCGUAGAGGGGGGUAGAAUUCCAGGUGUAGCGGUGAAAUGCGUAGAGAUCUGGAGGAAUACCGGUGGCGAAGGCGGCCCCCUGGACGAAGACUGACGCUCAGGUGCGAAAGCGUGGGGAGCAAACAGGAUUAGAUACCCUGGUAGUCCACGCCGUAAACGAUGUCGACUUGGAGGUUGUGCCCUUGAGGCGUGGCUUCCGGAGCUAACGCGUUAAGUCGACCGCCUGGGGAGUACGGCCGCAAGGUUAAAACUCAAAUGAAUUGACGGGGGCCCGCACAAGCGGUGGAGCAUGUGGUUUAAUUCGAUGCAACGCGAAGAACCUUACCUGGUCUUGACAUCCACGGAAGUUUUCAGAGAUGAGAAUGUGCCUUCGGGAACCGUGAGACAGGUGCUGCAUGGCUGUCGUCAGCUCGUGUUGUGAAAUGUUGGGUUAAGUCCCGCAACGAGCGCAACCCUUAUCCUUUGUUGCCAGCGGUCCGGCCGGGAACUCAAAGGAGACUGCCAGUGAUAAACUGGAGGAAGGUAGGGAUGACGUCAAGUCAUCAUGGCCCUUACGACCAGGGCUACACACGUGCUACAAUGGCGCAUACAAAGAGAAGCGACCUCGCGAGAGCAAGCGGACCUCAUAAAGUGCGUCGUAGUCCGGAUUGGAGUCUGCAACUCGACUCCAUGAAGUCGGAAUCGCUAGUAAUCGUGGAUCAGAAUGCCACGGUGAAUACGUUCCCGGGCCUUGUACACACCGCCCGUCACACCAUGGGAGUGGGUUGCAAAAGAAGUAGGUAGCUUAACCUUCGGGAGGGCGCUUACCACUUUGUGAUUCAUGACUGGGGUGAAGUCGUAACAAGGUAACCGUAGGGGAACCUGCGGUUGGAUCACC
rnacentral:rRNA from 1 species